rnacentral:rRNA from 1 species
UACGUAGGGUGCGAGCGUUAAUCGGAAUUAUUGGGCGUAAAGCGCGCGCAGGCGGCCUUUUAAGUCUGAUGUGAAAUCUUGCGGCUCAACCGCAAGCGGCCAUUGGAAACUGGGAGGCUUGAGUACAGAAGAGGAGAGUGGAAUUCCACGUGUAGCGGUGAAAUGCGUAGAUAUGUGGAGGAACACCAGUGGCGAAGGCGACUCUCUGGUCUGUAACUGACGCUGAGGCGCGAAAGCGUGGGGAGCAAACAGG